UACGUAGGGUGCAAGCGUUAAUCGGAAUUACUGGGCGUAAAGCGUGCGCAGGCGGUUAUGCACGACAGAUGUGAAAUCCCCGGGCUUAACCUGGGAACCGCAUUUGUGACUGCAUAGCUGGAGUACGGCAGAGGGGGAUGGAAUUCCGCGUGUAGCAGUGAAAUGCGUAGAUAUGCGGAGGAACACCGAUGGCGAAGGCAGUCCCCUGGGCCUGUACUGACGCUCAUGCACGAAAGCGUGGGGAGCAAACAGG
rnacentral:rRNA from 1 species